CCCACACAAAGAAGCGGGAUGGAUUGGCUUGUCCCCGGGACUUGGGGACGCCACACGGGGGUCGGAAACUAACCCCGUGACACAUAGAUGGAAUCAAAGAGGCGACGUAAGCUGUGGUCCCAUGACCGUAGCCUACAGUCUAGUCAGGAUGUGUAAAGAACUUCCAGCAGCUACAGAGCGUAAGAUACGACCGUGGGGUGUAGCCUACGAUUGAAGGAGACUUGGUUUAUUAGCAAAUGACAACCGUAACAUAUGGUUUGUGAACUGUAAGCUACGGCGAGAGUAAUUGGCAACGCGUAGAUUUGGUGUUUGAAGGGUAUUAAUAGGAUUUAAAAACCCUAACUCAAGGACACACACCCUUGGACGAAAAUUGGAGAUACAAGGCCACACCUUUAGCAUCUCUUCACUUUGAUUCAUCAUUCCUCGCAUCAAAUCGAAGAUUAAGAAGAUGAUAUCAACCAUGAAUCAAGCGUGUGAAGAUCAAUCAACCGAGAUGAGCGGCUAAUAUUUUAAUGGUUUCCUCCGGAUGGAGGAUUCUUGUAAGUGAACGGUUUUUAUGUGUUUGAAGUUGUUUGUGAACAUGGUAAUCUAAGCAUUCGAUGCUUUUUACCAUUUGAUUUGAUUGACUGGUUGUAACGAUCGAUUUCAUUUAAACUUUAGUUUUGAUUCAUUCAAUUACCGAGAGUGCUAGUAAUUGGGAUAUACUUGAUAGGGAUUAGGGUUGGUAAUUUCAGUUGAUUGCUUAUAUAAUAACCUUCCGUUGUUUUACAAUCGAAGUAAGUAGUCUUUAGGUAAUCCUAACUUGUUAAUUGAAUUACACAAUCGUGUCUAUGUGAUUGUUACAACUAAACACAUAAUUGACGUUUGCUUUGAAUCUAAAAUCCGGAGGAACCAUUGUUUUCUCCAACUGUUUACAACUUAUUCUAGUAAUUCUUAGUUUAAAUGAACAAUCAAACAACCAAGUUUACAUUUUUGCAACUAGUUUAUUAGUACUUAAUUCAUAACACUUUCCAGCUUACCCUAGCUACCUAGGUUAAUUACGUUUUUGCAUGGCCCUUACAAUAGUCAUCAAAAUGGCGCCAUUGCCGGGGAGUCGUGCGCAAAGUAUUUUGUGUCAAGAGUUUUAGAAAAAUAGUUAAAAAAUAAUCCAAAAAUAGUGUUUAUCUCUUUUUGUUCAGAAUUACGCUUGGGUUUAUGUUAUGCUUGUGCAGGUGAGUUUGUACAUGCAUGCAUCAUACUCGGAAAUCCAGAAAGUCUUCACCGCUAGUAUUCAAUCCAGAAAUCGAGAGGACAGUUCGGAAGACCCGAGUUAUUCAUAGAGAGAAUAAAAUUAUGCAAUCUCCAACAAUUACAUCAGAACCAAUGGAUACCUCAGAAAAUCCAGAUAAGCAAACAACUUCACAAGCUCAAUUCUCACCAACUCCUACUCAACCAUCGCCUAACACCACCAGACCAUCCGAACCACUACCGCAAUUCACCCAAACUACUACCCAAAUUCCACCAAUUCCACCGCCACUAUUCCCUAACUUUGAUAACCUACCACCACCAUUGCCAUAUCAAUCCUCAUCUUCUCAACAACCACCCUUCACCUAACCAACUACCACUCAACACUCCUCACCAUAUGUGAGAAUAGUUCAAGAUGAGAACCCUAUUCCACCGAACCAAAAUCGAACCGUUAACAUCGUGUAUCAUGAAGAAUUGAGGUUGGUGCAUCGAUGGCCUGGUAAGUACUUUUCAUCGCAAUAGUAACACAAACCUUUCUCGCGACGUGCUUUAGCUUCUGCGUUUGAGAUUCUGCGGGUGGGAGAAGGGCUAGGUAAAGCUAAAGUGGUGGUUGGGCCUGGGCCUAAUAUCCCAGCUGAAUCGGUGGAAGUGAAACGGCCCACAGAAAAAGUGGUGGGGAAGCGGAUGGGCUGGGACUGUUUUCUAGCGAGGCCCAAUUUCUCUUAUGCCAUUCGUGACAACCCUAUCGCAUCUAUGAGGGAUCGAGGUUGCUUCAUCUUGACUUCCAGUCUGACCUCAUCCUUGAGACCCCCAAUGUAACACGCCAUUAAAAAGGCGUCAGAAAGUCCAUCCACCUGAUGUGACAACUUCUCGAAGGACUCCUGGUAUUGUGCUACCGUUGUCGUAUGUUUUAGUCGGGAGAGGGCUUCAGCCGGAUUUUCAUAAUCUGUUGGCCCAAAGCGUGCCAAUAACGCUUGAGAAAACUCCGCCCAAGUCAUUGGCCCUUUAAGUUUUGUGAACCAACGGUGCCAUUGUAGGGCAAUACCGUCGACAUGUAUCGAAGCCAAGUUGACUUGUUCCUCCGGAGCAACACUUUGAAAUUCAAAGUAUUGGGAGGCCUGGUACAACCAACCGGUUGGGUCUCCUCCACUGAAACGAGGAAACUGAAGCUUGAGGUACGGUUUGGCCAUAUCACCAGAGAGGAUGAGCUUGCCACUGGGACCUGGCGUGCCGUCGCGCCGUUCAUGCUUGAUGGUCUGGAAUUCGUUCAUCAACUGCUGGAACAUGUCGUUAACUUUUGCGAAUUGAUCUUGCGUCUCCUGCUGGAACUGCUCGAGCGUUUUCUUGUCACGGGUUUCCAUUGGAUCAUGAUUGCUCUGAUACCACUAAUGGGGUCUGAUCAAUCAGAUUCAACAGCUAGAAAUUAAGAAGGAAAACAGAGAGAAAUUUAGGAAGAGGAUUUGGGACAAUAAAGGAAUACAUAUAAAGGAAACUGAAAUUAACCACUACUCACAUGGAGGAGAUCAUGGAUCACCACUCCUUUAUUUUAGGAACAACUCCUUGACACAGAAACUAAACAUACUGAAACAUAAACUGAAAUAAUAGGAAAUAACAUAAUUGGAAAUGACAUAAUUAAUUUAGCAUAAGGUCCCGUUGUAACGUUGGCCUCGGUACACAUCAUGCAAUUGUUGAAUCAUCACGUUGUGAGGGUUCCACUGAUACCAUUUGUUAGCCUAGCAAUGAGAUAGAGAGGGAGUGUUUCAAAUCCAAGCUAACCCUCUUAUUAGCUUUAACCAUAAUCAUAAUAAUAACAAUUGAAAGAAAUGUUAGUUGAUGACUAUGGCUUUUAAAAUUUUAGUCCCUUCCAUAUUACAAAUUGUCAACAUUGGACUGAACUAUUUUUCUUUCUUUAUCUAUCUAAACAAAAUCUCCCUUCCUCCGCAUUUCGCUCAUGUAUCAAGUUGUGACAGAAACAUAGAAUGAUGAGAUAUUAAAGUGGAGUGGGAACUGCUGAAAGAUUACUGAACAAAGUGGAAGUGUCUAGGGAGAACAGUCAAAACGGCCAUCUUGGAUGCAAGGAGCCAAAGAUCCGUGAGUUGCAGGGAAAAGCCCUGUAUCAUCUAGUCGGAACCCUUUGGAUUCUGCAAGUAUUCUCAGUCUGCAAUGAAGGCGAAAGUUUAGAUCCAUUUACGAUCUAAAAAAGAAAGGGGUUGAAAGUAACCAGAGUGUAUGUUUGCCGCAUACUAUCUUCUGAAACGCAUUCUUCCAGCAACUGGAUUAUUAUUAUUAUAACUAUAUUGUUUCUGUAAUAAUAUUUAAGGCCUUAUUAUACGCUAUAUUUUUUUUUAAAUGAACAAAGUGUUCAGGUCACCCAACCCGACCCAGAUCAUUGUAUUUCCCACAAUUUUCCAAAGACUUGUACUGCUAUCUCAUUAUUUGGCUCGUGUUAUCUUAUGAAGUGGAAGUAUA
rnacentral:lncRNA from 1 species